rnacentral:lncRNA from 1 species
GAGAAGCUUUCCAUGCUGACAACUUUGCCUUGAUUUUAUCAACAAUAGGAUAAAAAUAUCUGGCUUUAGGUUUACCUUUAAAGAUUGGGACUCCAAGAUAAUUGAAGGGGAGAGAACCAACAUUGAAACCAAUAAGAUCCACAAUGCGAUCAAAUCUAGCUUGAGAAAUACCACCAACAAAAAUUGUUGAUUUGGAAGCAUUAAUGACCUGACCAGAACAAUUAGCAUAACUAAUGAAAAGAUUUUGGAGAGCUUGUAAGCUGGAGAACUUGCCUUUACAAAAAACCAUUAUGUCAUCAGCAUAUAG